GAUGAACGCUGGCGGCGUGCUUAACACAUGCAAGUCGAACGAGAAAUGGAGACGGAAACCUUCGGGCGGAAGGCGUCAUUUCGAGUGGCGGCCGGGGGAGUAACGCGUGGGUAAACUGCCUCAUACAGGGGGAUAACAGUUGGAAACGACUGUUAAUACCGCAUAAGAUCACAGCAUCGCAUGGUGCGGGGGUAAAAACUCCGGUGGUAUGAUAUGGACCCGCGUACGAUUUGCCGGCUGGCGGGGGAACGGCCCACCAAAGCGACGAUCGAUAGCCGAUCUGAGAGGAUGGCCGGCCACACUGGGGCUGAGACACGGCCCAAACUCCUACGCAAGGCAGCAGUGGGGGAUAUUGCACAAUGGGGGAAACCCUGAUGCAGCGACGCCGCGUGAGUGAAGAAGUACUUCGGGAUGUAAAGCUCUAUCAGCAGGGAAGAAAAUGACGGUACCUGAGUAAGAAGCCCCGGCUAACUACGUG
rnacentral:rRNA from 1 species